GACUCGAUGGCGGAUGGUCCGCACCUGCUCUUCAUUUGGGUCUUCAAAAAUCAUUGAAAGCAGAAUGAAGCCGGUUCGAUUCCGGGUCGAGUCA